rnacentral:sRNA from 1 species
GCCAGGCAUGGUGGCACAUGCCUGAAAUCCCAGUGGCUCUGAGGCUGAGGCAGGAGGAUCACGAGUUCAAAGCCAGCCUCACCUAAAGACAGGCUCUAAGCAACUCAGUGAGACCCUGUCUCUA